GGAAGUGCGGUAGCUCAGUGGCAGAGCAUCUUCUUUGCAUGCAGAAUGUCCCAGGUUUGACCCCUGGUGUCUCCG